rnacentral:rRNA from 1 species
CUCGUAGGUGGCCAACUCAGUCAGACGUGAAAUCCCUCGGCUUAACCGGGGAACUGCGUCUGAUACUGGAUGGCUUGAGGUUGGGAGAGGGAUGCGGAAUUCCAGGUGUAGCGGUGAGAUGCGUAGAUAUCUGGAGGAACACCGGUGGCGAAGGCGGCAUCCUGGACCAAUUCUGACACUGAGGAGCGAAAGCAGGGAGCGAAACG